CCUACGGGAGGCUGCAGUGGGGAAUAUUGGGCAAUGGGCGCAAGCCUGACCCAGCAACGCCGCGUGAAGGAAGAAGGCUUUCGGGUUGUAAACUUCUUUUAAGAGGGAAGAGCAGAAGACGGUACCUCUUGAAUAAGCCACGGCUAACUACGUGCCAGCAGCCGCGGUAAUACGUAGGUGGCAAGCGUUGUCCGGAUUUACUGGGUGUAAAGGGCGUGCAGCCGGGAAGACAAGUCAGAUGUGAAAUCCCGCGGCUCAACCGCGGAACUGCAUUUGAAACUGUUUUUCUUGAGUACCGGAGAGGUCAUCGGAAUGCCUUGUGUAGCGGUGAAAUGCGUAGAUAUAAGGAAGAACACCAGUGGCGAAGGCGGAGGACUGGACGGCAACUGACGGUGAGGCGCGAAAGCGUGGGGAGCGAACAGGAUUAGAUACCCCAGUAGUC
rnacentral:rRNA from 1 species